CCUACGGGUGGCAGCAGUAGGGAAUUUUCGUCAAUGGGCGCAAGCCUGAACGAGCAAUGCCGCGUGAACGAGGAAGGUCUUCGGAUCGUAAAGUUCUGUUGAAGGGGAAAAAGAGCGGAGAGAGGAAAUGGUCUCCGAUUGAUAUUACCCUUCGAGGAAGUCACGGCUAACUACGUGCCAGCAGCCGCGGUAAUACGUAGGUGGCGAGCGUUUUCCGGAAUGAUUGGGCGUAAAGGUUGGGUAGGCGGCCUGCUAAGUCUGGAGUGAAAGGUACCGGCUCAACCGGGACAGGCGCUGGAAACUGGCGGGCUAGAGAGCAGGAGAGGGCGGUGGAACUCCAUGUGUAGCGGUAAAAUGCGUAGAUAUAUGGAAGAACACCAGUGGCGAAGGCGGCCGCCUGGCCUGUUACUGACGCUGAGGCACGAAAGCGUGGGGAGCAAAUAGGAUUAGAUACCCGAGUAGUC
rnacentral:rRNA from 1 species